rnacentral:rRNA from 1 species
UCUGCCUAUACUGCAAGUCGAGCGAACAGAUAAGGAGCUUGCUCCUUUGACGUUAGCGGCGGACGGGUGAGUAACACGUGGAUAACCUACCUAUAAGACUGGGAUAACUUCGGGAAACCGGAGCUAAUACCGGAUAACAUAUUGAACCGCAUGGUUCAAUAGUGAAAGGCGGCUUUGCUGUCACUUAUAGAUGGAUCCGCGCCGUAUUAGCUAGUUGGUAAGGUAACGGCUUACCAAGGCAACGAUACGUAGCCGACCUGAGAGGGUGAUCGGCCACACUGGAACUGAGACACGGUCCAGACUCCUACGGGAGGCAGCAGUAGGGAAUCUUCCGCAAUGGGCGAAAGCCUGACGGAGCAACGCCGCGUGAGUGAUGAAGGUCUUCGGAUCGUAAAACUCUGUUAUCAGGGAAGAACAAAUGUGUAAGUAACUGUGCACAUCUUGACGGUACCUGAUCAGAAAGCCACGGCUAACUACGUGCCAGCAGCCGCGGUAAUACGUAGGUGGCAAGCGUUAUCCGGAAUUAUUGGGCGUAAAGCGCGCGUAGGCGGUUUUUUAAGUCUGAUGUGAAAGCCCACGGCUCAACCGUGGAGGGUCAUUGGAAACUGGAAAACUUGAGUGCAGAAGAGGAAAGUGGAAUUCCAUGUGUAGCGGUGAAAUGCGCAGAGAUAUGGAGGAACACCAGUGGCGAAGGCGACUUUCUGGUCUGUAACUGACGCUGAUGUGCGCAAGCGUGGGGAUCAAACAGGAAUAGAUACCCUGGUAGUCCACCCCCUAAAUAAUGAAGUGUAAAAGGUAUGGGGUUUUCCCCCCUUCAAUGUUGCUGACAAAGGUU